ACCAUACAAGGCUUCCAAAAUCAUGGAUGAGAUCACACCCAAAUCAUUGUCAAACCCCAUCAUCAAUUCAUAUUUCAAGAGAACCUAGGAACAGCCUUGCAAACCAAGGACUGUUUCAUCUCCAUUGAGAGCUUGAGGCACUCAGACAAGUCCACACCAGAGUCACAAGCAACCCAUUUGAAGUUUUGGAGCAAUUGAGCCAACCACAGUUGCACAGUUGCUAAACCCAUUGCUUUCCCAGGACAAACCCUUCUUCCAGAGCCAAAUGGUGCCAACCUAAGAUCAGAACCCAAAAUGCUCACAUCCUCCUCCAUAAAGCGACUUGGCUUGAAUUCCUUAGGCUCAUCCCACACAGCAUCAUCAUGGGUUAUUGCCCACAUAUUCACCAUAGCUGUGGUGCCUGCAGGGAUGAAGUGCGAACCAAUGUGGGUAUCAUGAAUGGAAAGGCGUGCCCAGGAAAGGAGCGGGCCAGGUGGAUGCAUGCGGAGAGUUUCCUUUACUAUGGCAUGGAGAUAAGGGAGUUUAUGAAUGUCUGAAUCAGACACCAGUCGGGUGGCUCCAACCACUGCAUCUAUUUCAGAUUGGGCUUUGGAUUGAAUAUCGGGGUGUAAAACCAUUCUUGCAAGAAUCCACUCCAACAGAAUUGCCACCGUGUCAGUCCCUCUAAAGAUCAUUUCCUGAGAUUGCAACAUAUUUCCAAUUACACAAACGUGUGAAGAUUAAAUAAAACACGAUGAUAAUAAAGAAAAAGUCAAGGAAAAGAAAUGCAUCACCAUGACAAAGCAUAAAUUGUAAAGCAUAAGAAACAAAGACAGGAAAGAAAGAAAAGAAAGAAAAUGAAUCUUAUCACGGUGAAAAGAGAAACUAUUCAGAUUCUCAAUAUCUAUGGAUGCCCAAAAAAACAAACUUAAAGAAAAGACCUGGCUAUUUCAAGCAUCAAUGUAACAGUAACAAAGAGGGAAAAUGCAUAAAAAGGCUAAAAACUAAAACAUGAAAAACCUAGUGAAUGCAACCACAAAAAAAAGGUCUAAUGAGAAAAAAAAACCUUUGUCAAGAUGUGCUGGGGAAGCACACCAAGAACAGAAAAUGAACAUAUUUCUACAGUAGGUGAUGAACCUGACAAUAGAAUGUUUGAAGGCGCUUACCCAUAAAACAGCAAUCAUAUCAGAGUCGCUGAGCCUGCUUUCCUUUUCCAAAUCGAGUAAGACGUCAACAAAAUCGCCUGAACUGUCAUCACCAUCACGACCCACUUCUCCAUCACCAACCCUCCUGAGCCUGUGCUCAUCUAUGAUCCUGGAAACAAAAACGUUCACCUUCGAAACCAACUUUUUGCAUCUCUUUCUCACUCCUUGCAAGUCCAACCACCCGAGAAGCGGUAAGUGGUCACUCCAGUUGAAUAUACCAAGCAGUUCGUACCCUUCACUCACCAGGCUCUCAAGCUCAACCGCAUCACCAGAAACACCUUUUCCAAAGUCGUAGCUCCUUCCAAACACGCUCAUCAUCACAUUGUUCAAAGACCCAAAAUGCAACACUUUCUUCACCUUCACCUCACCUUUCUUCUCCAUCAAAACCCUAAUCUCAUCCACCAUUUUCAACCCAAUAGUCCUCCGAAACUCCCCGAAACCAGCGAUUCUCCUCGGACUGAACAAAUGGGUGGCCGAAAUCCUCCUCAGAUUUCUCCAGUACACCCCGAACGGAGCAAAACCCAUUGCUCGGUGGAAUAAAAGCUC
rnacentral:lncRNA from 1 species